AGGAUGUUCGGCUCAGUCAAGUUUGAGACGUUGUCGUGUUGAGACCAAAAGCGGAUAAAUACGCUGCAAUAAACGCCAGCCGUGAACGCGUUGGUUAAAGUAGUUAACAUAAAUUCAUAUGUAUAACGGUGUGUUUGUAAAGGAGCUAUAGUGUAUGUAAGAAUUUACAUAUAUGCACCAUAUAUAAGAGAAGGCAACAAACAUUUAAUAGUGAGAGAUUUAAAUGUACUGCACAGCUUACAGUAUAUAGUAUAACAAAUGCGGUUUAAAAAAUUUAGGAAAGUACUAAUAAUUCUGCUGAAUUGAAAAUUGCAAAAAAAAUAAAAUAAUUAAAAAUAAUAUUAAAUUUGGUUAAUUAAAAAAAUAUUUGUGCAUGUUUUUAGUGUCAGCCAUUUAUGAUACUCCUCAAGCAUUCCGAGUAAAAUAACUGCGCGCUAGAAAGUAUGCUACGAUAUUUUGAAAACAUGAAAAUUUUUUACUAAAUGUGGAUUCGUGUUUAAAAAUACUGGAGUGCGAAAUUGUUUCUUGUAGAUUUGAGCGUAAAGCAUGUAGAACAGCCCCUAAUUGAAAAUAUUUACCAUUUGUCAGUGCAAUUGUGUCGAGUUUGAAAGAAGUGCAAAAAGGCAAAAAAAAAAUUAGAACAACAACAACAAUACUGUACUAUUUCCUCGAGUGUUUGUAACAAAUAAAAGCUGCUGCUAAAAUUUUGUGCGAAAAAUAUAAAUAGGACUUUUACUUGAUUGCCGAGUGCCGAGCGCAAGUUGAACUACAGCUGAACAAGUGAAACAAACAAACUGGCAACAACGGUGGCAAUUGCUGGGUGCUUGUGCCGCAACAAAAACGAGUUACAAAGUUUGUUGGCAGUGGAGUACGCCGCGGGCAGUGAGGCAGUGUGUGUGUGCGCGCGUGUAUGAAAUGGCAAGGGCGAGUAAGCGCGCAGUGGCAGCAGCAAUAAAUAAGUAAACAAAAGAAAACGAAAAACAAAAACAAACACUAGCGCGCGCGUAAUUUCUUCAACAAAACUGGGACAAAGGCGGAUUAGCUGAGCAAACUGCAGCAAGGAAGACAAACGCGUCAGCACUAAGCGCAGCUUUCUCGAAAUAAGCUUAGUGGCUUGCUUUGUAUGCGGCUGAAACAACACUGCAACAGCAUUUGGCAACAUUGUACCGUUGCGCUGCAUGUCAACCGAGCUUAGCGAAUUACGUGAGUCAAACCAGCAGGCGAUUGCCGCAGCGCGCUUACAGAUUUAAAGCGCACACAUUUUUGACUUUGCCACUAGCUGUUUGGUUGGCCCUCAGCACAUUUGACAGUUGCAACAGUUGCAGCAACAGCGCGAACGGCAGUAGCGCGCGUGACCUGAGCCAAGCAUAGCAAACACUGCCAGCCCUAAACACGUGCGCAAAUUGAAAAAUAAGGCGCGCAUUAGAAAAAUAACGGUAAAUAACGGCAGGUGUGAAAACGAGAGCAAAAGAGAGAAGUGUUGGAAGGUGGUAGCGGCAAAGGCUUAAAGCUGAAAGUCAAGAGUUCAAACGCGCAAAAGCCAGAGGGAAAGCGCAAUCAGCGCGUCCGCUAAACCAACAAGCAUUUUCCAAUUGCAACCGUAUCAGCUGCUGCAGCGGGAGCGAGGGAGUUCUGAAGGGCAACCUAGUGGCGGGACACGCGCUUCACAACCCCAUAUAAAUCGCUUGACACACGCUCAAUCGCUGCGAUUUGUGACGCACUGAAGUGGGAAUUGCAACGCGGCGGCGGUGAGUGGGUACUGAGCGCGGUGUAGCAAGAGCGCAUAUAUACACCGAGGCAAUCGUGUGUGAGCGCUUGACCUGUGAGGGCUGAACUGCUGUGUUGUGUAGUGACGUCAUUCAAUUUGCUGGCUGAAGUUGGGUAAACACCGCAGGGUUAAGCGUCGGCCUAGUUUCGCGCCAUCGUCGGUCGUACAGUUGAGCGCCGGGUCGUAAUACAAACGCGCGGCGUCGUUUCGGUUCGUAAUUCGUAAGAUACGAGCGUGUAUGUGUGUACGCGUGUGGUAGCCAGCAAUUGCCGUACAUCCAUAUACACACUUAUAUUAGUUUCUAUGCCCGUGCAGCUGUUAGUGUGUGCGUGCGCGCCUCUUUAAACAAACACAAACACUAAACCCGGUCAGGCGUUUUGAGCCGAGCCAAUUGAGCCAGCCAGGCAGUCAGUCGUCAAUCAGCUGUGUGCACAUCGAGUAUAUCGCGCGCGCAUAGCCAGCGCCAGUCGAGCAGUGUUAAUAAGGUGUACGUGCACGUGCACGCCGCAUUCAACCGUUACAUUUUGCGCACGUCGUUCGUUACAUUAGCCGCUUCCGUACUCACCAUCACCACCACCUGUAGUUAGCAUGGCUCACAUAACGUCCUUGCUGUCGGGCGCGUCGUCAGCCGCGGCGUCGCCUCUGUCGUCGCGUCAAUACAGUGUCGCAUCCUCGCCCAGGCUAAGCGGCGACAUCGGUCGUGGUCUAUUCGCCAUUGUUGUGCUGCUAUUGCGUAUGUCCUCCGUGUAUGGCGUCAUCGAUCGCUUGGUGGUGCAGACAUCGAGCGGUCCGGUGCGCGGUCGCUCCGUCACCGUGCAGGGUCGAGAAGUGCACGUCUACACAGGCAUACCGUAUGCAAAGCCACCAUUAGAUGAUUUACGAUUUCGCAAACCGGUGCCAGCGGAACCCUGGCACGGUGUGUUGGAUGCAACGCGACUGCCGGCAACCUGUGUGCAAGAAAGAUAUGAAUAUUUUCCCGGUUUCUCCGGCGAAGAGAUAUGGAAUCCUAAUACAAAUGUCUCCGAAGAUUGCCUGUACAUAAACGUGUGGGCGCCAGCGAAAGCGCGUUUGCGGCACGGACGUGGUGCUAACGGUGGCGAGCACUCCAAUAAAGCCGACACUGAUCAUUUGAUACACAACGGAAAUCCGCAGAACACCACAAAUGGCUUACCCGUGCUCAUUUGGAUUUACGGUGGUGGCUUCAUGACCGGCACUGCCACACUCGAUAUAUACAAUGCGGACAUUAUGUCGGCUGUGGGUAAUGUCAUUGUGGCAUCGUUUCAAUAUCGUGUGGGUGCUUUUGGUUUCCUGCACCUGUCACCCGCUAUGCCCGGCUACGAGGAGGAGGCACCCGGUAAUGUGGGGUUGUGGGAUCAGGCAUUGGCUAUACGUUGGCUGAAAACGAAUGCUCAUGCUUUCGGCGGUAAUCCCGAGUGGAUGACACUUUUCGGUGAAUCGGCUGGUUCGAGUUCGGUGAAUGCGCAACUUGUGUCGCCAGUGACGGCGGGUUUGGUCAAGCGUGGCAUGAUGCAAUCGGGCACAAUGAAUGCGCCCUGGAGUCAUAUGACGUCGGAGAAGGCCGUAGAGAUUGGCAAGGCGUUAAUCAACGACUGCAAUUGCAAUGCGUCGCUGUUGUCGGAAAAUCCACAGGCUGUGAUGGCCUGCAUGCGCGCCGUCGAUGCCAAAACGAUUUCGGUGCAGCAGUGGAACUCCUACUCGGGCAUUUUAAGUUUUCCAUCGGCGCCGACCAUUGAUGGCGCAUUUUUGCCAGAUCACCCCAUGAAGAUGAUGGAGACAGCCGAUCUACGUGGCUAUGACAUACUGAUGGGAAAUGUCAGAGACGAAGGCACCUACUUUCUGCUUUACGAUUUUAUCGAUUAUUUCGAUAAGGAUGAGGCGACUUCAUUGCCGCGUGAUAAAUAUUUGGAAAUUAUGAAUAACAUUUUUGGCAAAGUAACACAAGCGGAACGCGAAGCAAUCAUUUUUCGGCACACCAGCUGGGUGGGUAAUCCCGGUUUGGAGAAUCAGCAGCAAAUCGGACGCGCAGUUGGCGAUCACUUCUUCACCUGCCCUACCAAUGAGUAUGCCCAAGCGUUGGCCGAACGGGGAGCUUCCGUGCACUACUACUACUUUACACAUCGCACUAGCACCUCCCUGUGGGGUGAGUGGAUGGGCGUACUGCACGGCGAUGAGAUCGAGUACUUCUUCGGUCAGCCAUUGAAUACAUCGCUACAGUAUCGGCAAGUCGAACGAGAGCUGGGCAAGCGGAUGCUGAAUGCCGUUAUUGAAUUUGCUAAAACUGGCAAUCCCGCCGCAGAUGGCGAAGAAUGGCCAAAUUUUACAAAGAAAGAUCCCGUGUAUUAUGUCUUUUCAACCGAUGACAAAGAGGAGAAGCUGCAACGUGGCCCACUGGAAGGACGUUGCGCAUUCUGGAAUGAGUAUUUGCGCGAAGUCCGAAAAUGGGGAUUGGCCAUACUGAAGGCGGUUCAUGUGCUGGAAUUUCUGUUUAUUUACCUGAAAACUUGGCUAAUCAGCGGCUAAGUAUCAGCAACGUGAGUGAAAUGCAAAUGCCGAGCUGAGCGGAGCAGAUGUACCUGAGCGUGUUUGUCGAGAGGCUGGCGGACCGGUGAGCAGACGGCAGGUGACGGCGCAGCGCUGGUGGGCACUUGUGGUUGAGUAGAGUGUUUGCAAUUAUGCCCCCGAGUACAGCAAAUUGUCAAAGUAAAUACUGUCGCCUAGGGACUGGCCAAGAAUAAUACGUAAGCAAAUACCUGAUAACUGUGUAAGAAAAAGAAUAUGAAAUUGAAAAUAAGAUAGAGUAAACAGCUUAUAUGCGCAAUCACGAAUUUAAUUCAACCACAAACGAGACAAAAGAGACUUCAGUCAAGUGUAGGCAGUGCAAAUAUUUAAGAGGGUAGGCAAAGUAUGAGCAUUCACUGGAUUUAUAAACAAAUCGCAUACAAAUAAACAAAAAGCAGUUAUACAUAUAGGUAAAUAAAUAAAUACAUAAAUAAAUAAAACAAAGUUAAACUCAAGUAUUGAUUAAUAUCAAAGCCAAAGCAUUUUCGCAAACUUCCAAGCACCGACCAUGACUUUAAGUCAGAGCCACAAAUUCAAUUACGCACCCAAUAAACAAAAUCCAGCUUAAUGUGAGAUCGAUAAACAAAUCGAUAGUAAAAUAAAAAUAUUUACUAUUAAAGCAAAGGCAAAUAAACCGUAAAAGUUUAAAGGCACUGGUUGAGAAUUAUAAAGCAAUACGUUUGGUCACAAAGCAAAGACAGACAGUGCUGUUAAACGGACUCAGACUCCGACUCCAUAAUAUUAUUGUACUUGAAUCUGCACGUUGCUUCCCUGGAUUUCGAUUAUCAGCGCAAAGUUUUUGGAGAAUGCGUAAACAUAGAAAAAAGAACUUAAAACACAUAAGCUUCUGCGUCACUAGACUUUGUACAGACGUCAUCAAUAGCAAAGCUCUUAAGCGACAUUGCAAUAACUUACAUAAGUCGCCACUGAUGUUGCAUAUUUUAAUUUAAAAGCUAAAUGCGACAACGCACUUUUUUCUGUAAAAAUAUAUAGAGUACGUAUGUAUGUAUAUUGUUAGUGCAAGAAUCAGUGAUAUUGAAAUGUAAAGCAAAAACAUGCGACAAGUUACUCACGGCAACGUGUAGUGCACAGUGGUUAAUUAUAUUUAAUAUUGUGGAUUAAAAUUAGUUUUAUUUCAGUAAUAUUUUUUUCAUUUAAAAUAUUGGUACAUACAUUUAGUAUUAAAAACAAGAAAAAACUUUAUAAAAAACGCUAAUAUACCCUUCACACGUGCAUUUCUUUUAGUAACUAUGUGUUCACUUUAUAUGAAAACUAUAUGCUGUAGUAAUCCGAUCUGAACAAUUUUUUGGAGAUUAUAUAAUUAGCUUAAGCAGCAACCCAUAUCAAAUUUCGUGAAGAUAUAUCGUCAAAUGAAGAAGUUUCCCAUACAAGAACUUGAUUCCGAUCGUUCAGUUUGUAUGGCAGCUACACGUUAUAGUGGUCCGAUAUCGGCAGUUCCGACAAAUGAGCAG